rnacentral:misc_RNA from 1 species
CGCCCAUUAGAAAGGAUUUCAGUAUCACCCUCAUCCAAACCAAAACUCUUUAAGUCAAAACCUCGAAACAUACCCAAACAAAAAUAUGAGAGAAAAGCGUAGCGAUUAUGCCCUGUUUUUGCAUAUUCAAUAUCAGCAUGAACUGAAUUCGCUGCCAAAUCCAAAUCCCACCCAGCUUUUCUCAUCAAAUCUAUCAAAAUCUUAGUGAAUUUAUGUGUAGCCCUACAAGCAUCAUUUAACACAGAAUCGAAAACCCUAACAGACAACAAAACAUCACAAGAAGAAGGCAAAUUCAAAUUACCA